CGGAGAUUUUUAUUUUUUUAACCCAAAAGUUCAACUUUUACUCCUUCUUACUGUUUUUAGCUUUCUCUUCAGUUUGAGAAGGCUGUAGAUAAUAACUCUCUCUCCUCCAACUUUUUCAUCAGCUCUUGUGACCUUUUUCCUAGGUUCUAACUGCAGUUGUGGCCUGAUGCUAAAAAGGUUUUAUUUUAAAGGAAAUGUUGUCUUCUAAGAUAACAUUCUGUGCUCUUGGCUUUAAAUUCUUCUAUGAAACUUAAAAUGUUCACUUACGACCCAGGACAUACUCUUCCUAUGUCUAACUAAUUCAAGUAUACUUUUCAUGAGUUUUGACUUCCAGAUUAUUGAAAUGGACUCCCCAUAGGGAAUAACAAUCACAUUGAAGAUGCUUUUUGUUUUUUGCCUUUUGGUAACUGGCCUCAAACAGAUUUUUGUUUCUUCAAAAUAGUUCCUAUGACAUUGUUAUUAAGUUUUGAUUUGCUUAGGAAAACUGAAAUUAAACUUUUAAAAUGUAAGGUUAUUACACCCAUGUAACUUUCUGUAUUUCUUUUAUAGUCCUUAUGCCAUUAAGUUACAGGGCUGUGACUCUUGGGUCACCAAGACACCAAGUCCUGCUAAAUCUUAAACACUGAUGGCAGUUAAAGCUGCAUCUUAAAACUCGGGAAAAGAUGACAAUCAAAAUAAACUGUGUUCAUGAGACCCAGGGCCAGAAAUUAAAACUACUGAAACCGUCUAAGCCCAGGGAAGAGGUGGAUGCAUGAGAUUGUAAAGUUUGGGACUCACAAAGAAAUCUGUUAUGAAUAUCAGUGUAUAAGUCUUCAUGUGGACAUACUGUGUCUGGAAUUGGUUCCUUCUGGUGGGUUCUUGGUCUCGUCCACUUCAAGAAUGAAGCUGCGGACCCUCGCGUCCCCCCCAACCACCCACCUGACACGGCAAUGGGUAUGUUGAGUUGAAUCUGAAUCUGAACUCGGAUUAUUUGAUUGCAGCCAUUCAAGGUAAGAUUUAUCUUGUGUUCCUAGAAAUAACAUCUCCAGAACUUUUUGGGUUGUCUGGUCAUAAGUUUAUUGUUCUUUGACAUAAAGAUGUCCAGUCUUCUAAAACUUGCUUCUGUUAUUCUGGGUUAUUAUCCAGUAUCUUGAGUCUCAUUUUUCUAUAACAGGAAAAGUCUAUGGAGAGAGGAUGAGCAUAGGCCCAGUGAGUCUAUCCUCCAGGUGGCCCAGGGCUGAAGAGUUCCAAGGGUCUCAUUAGACUAGGGCCCUUUACAUAAGCUUUGCCUCAGAUAUCUUUUUCAAAACUCUUCAAGAAUUGUUCUGCAAUCUUGUCUUUGUAUCUCUGAAAAUGUCUUUAUUUUGUUUCAUUUCCCCAGAGGUUUCACUGGUGAUGACUUGUCUUUGGCCAGGUUUGGAAGACACAUAGUUUCAUGAGCAGCAUUC
rnacentral:lncRNA from 1 species